rnacentral:rRNA from 1 species
GAAUCAUUGGGCGUAAAGGGGGCGUAGGCGGAUGUAUAAGUCAGCCGUGAAAGCCCGGGGCUCAACCCCGGAAGUUCGGUUGAUACUGUAUAUCUUGAAUAUGGGAGAGGAAAGUGGAAAUCCUGGUGUAGCGGUGAAAUGCGUAGAUAUCAGGAGGAAUACCGGUGGCGAAGGCGACUUUCUGGGCCAAUAUUGACGCUGAGGCGCGAAGGCGUGGGGAGCAAACAGAAUUAGAUACCCUGGUAGUCCACGCAGUAAACGUUGAACACUAGGUGUAGCGGGUAUUGACCCCUUCUGUGCCGAAGCUAACGCAUUAAGUGUUCCGCCUGGGGAGUA